UCAUGGGCCUGAGCAUCAGCGCUCACAUUCUCUACUUUAGGUAACAUCAUGGGCCUGAGCAUCAGCGCUCACGUUCUCUUCUUUAGGUAACAUCAUGGGACUGAGCAUCAGCGCUCACGUUCUCUUUAGGUAACAUCAUAGGACUGAGCAUCAGCGCUCACGUUCUCUUUAGGUAACAUCAUGGGACUGAGCAUCAGCGCUCACAUUCUCUACUUUAGGUAACAUCAUGGGCCUGAGCAUCAGCGCUCACAUUCUCUACUUUAGGUAACAUCAUGGGCCUGAGCAUCAGCGCUCACGUUCUCUUCUUUAGGUAACAUCAUAGGACUGAGCAUCAGCGCUCACGUUCUCUACUUUAGGUAACAUCAUGGGCCUGGGCAUCAGCGCUCACGUUCUCUUCUUUAGGUAACAUGGGCCUGAGCAUCAGCGCUCACGUUCUCUUCUUUAGGUAACAUCAUGGGCCUGGGCAUCAGCGCUCACGUUCUCUACUUUAGGUAACAUCAUGGGCCUGAGCAUCAGCGCUCACGUUCUCUACUUUAGGUAACAUCAUGGGCCUGGGCAUCAGCGCUCACGUUCUCUACUUUAGGUAACAUCAUGGGCCUGAGCAUCAGCGCUCACGUUCUCUUCUUUAGGUAACAUCAUGGGCCUGGGCAUCAGCGCUCACGUUCUCUACUUUAGGUAACAUCAUGGGCCUGAGCAUCAGCGCUCACGUUCUCUACUUUAGGUAACAUCAUGGGCCUGAGCAUCAGCGCUCACGUUCUCUACUUUAGGUAACAUCAUGGGCCUGAGCAUCAGCGCUCAUGUUCUCUUCUUUAGGUAACAUCAUGGGCCUGAGCAUCAGCGCUCAUGUUCUCUUCUUUAGGUAACAUCAUGGGCCUGAGCAUCAGCGCUCACGUUCUCUACUUUAGGUAACAUCAUGGGCCUGAGCAUCAGCGCUCACGUUCUCUACUUUAGGUAACAUCAUGGGACUGGGCAUCAGCGCUCACUUUCUCUUCAGGUAAUAUGGGAAAAGACCAGAGUGAAACUGAUACUUGGACAUUAAAACUGUAUGUAUGUAUGUACACUCAGCACAUAAUUAAAUACGAAAUGCAGGACUUCUGUCACGUUCAAGGAAAGGAAUCACACUUCUGUCACUCAAAUGCAUUUCUGAGUAAUGUGCCAAAAUGUGACAUUAGACUAUUACUGCUAUUAUUAUGUUUUUACUCAUUCAUAGUCUAGACUAAAUGGUCUGUAGACUCUGAUAACUGUCUGUUUUGUAGGCACAGGUGCCCCUGGCUCAGACCCAGGUUGUGCUGUCAUAUAUCUAGUAAUCUGUGUUUUGGCACGAUGACUUGAAAGCACUUUUAUUGUUUGUAGAGAUUCAACUUUUCCUGGUAUGACUAUUUGUACUAGUACGGAAUAAUAAAACAUGAAUAAUAAUCCAAAUACCAAUUGAACUGGCAACGAUAUUCCACUGUGUGCAAGUCUGUUGUUUGACAGGUCUCUCUGUC